GACUCCGUGCGGAUUCGCACAUCGAACGCGCCCUUUCCAGUCCUAACGGCUCCUUCAGUUUUCAAAUUUCUCGUUGAUGAAGUGGAAGACGAAACAGCGGCGUCUGAAGGCUCACUGUCAUUCACAAGUGGCUCCAGUCUGGUUUGGGGGUUCUGCCAUCCAAGUAAAGUUAUUCACAAGUGGCUCCAGUCUGGUUUGGGGGUCUACGCUUUCUCAUCCUGUCCUGCCACCCAAGUGAAGUUAUUCACAAGUGGCUCCAGUUUGGUUUGGGGGUCUACGCUUUCUCAUCCUGUCCUGCCACCUAAGUGAAGUUAUUCACAAGUGGCUCCAGUCUGGUUUGGGGGUCUACGCUUUCUCAUCCUGUCCUGAGUGAUUCUUGACAUUGAAAUUAUAUCAAAAUUUGUCAAUAAAUGUUCAUACUUUUGUCAUUAA